rnacentral:rRNA from 1 species
GAUGAACGCUGGCGGCGUGCCUAAUACAUGCAAGUCGAGCGAACAGACGAGGAGCUUUCUCCCCUGACGUUGGCGGCGGACGGACGAGUAACACGUGGAUAGCCUACCUCUUAGACUGGGAUAAUUACGGGGAACCGGUGCUACUACCGGAUAAUAUAUUGAACCGCAUGGUUCAAUAGUUAUAGACGGUUUUGCUGACACCAAUAGCUGAAUCCGGGUCGAAUUAGUUAGUUGGUAAGGUAACGGUUUACCAAGGCAACGAUGCGUAGCCGACCUGAGAGGGUGAUCAGCCACACUGGAACUGAGACACGGUCCAGACUCCUACGGGAGGCAGCAGUAGGGAAUCUUCCGCAAUGGGCGAAAGCCUGAUGGAGCAACACCGCGUGAGUGAUGAAGGUCUUCGGAUCGUAAAGCUCUGUUGUUAGGAAAGAACAAAAGCGUAUUUAACUAUGCACGUCUUGACGGUACCUAAACAAAAAGCCACGGCUAACUACGUG